rnacentral:tRNA from 1 species
GAAGGUAUAGCUCAAGUGGUAGAGUACAUGCUUAGCAUGCACGAGGUCCUGGGUUCAAUUCCCAGUACCUCCU